AGAGUUUGAUCCUGGCUCAGAACGAACGCUGGCGGCAGGCUUAACACAUGCAAGUCGAACGAAGCUUCACCUUCGGGUGAAUGACUGAGCGGCGCACGGGUGAGUAACGCGUGGGGACCUGCCCUUCAGUACGGAAUAACUCCGGGAAACUGGGACUAAUACCGUAUACGCCCUAAGGGGGAAAGAUUUAUCGCUGAAGGAUGGACCCGCGUCUGAUUAGUUUGUUGGUGGGGUAAUGGCCUACCAAGACUACGAUCAGUAGCUGGUUUGAGAGAAUGAUCAGCCACACUGGGACUGAGACACGGCCCAGACUCCUACGGGAGGCAGCAGUGGGGAAUCUUGGACAAUGGGGGAAACCCUGAUCCGGCCAUGCCGCGUGAGUGAAGAAGGCCCUAGGGUUGUAAAGCUCUUUCAAUAGUGAGGAUAAUGACAGUAGCUAUAGAAGAAGCCCCGGCUAACUUCGUGCCAGCAGCCGCGGUAAUACGAAGGGGGCGAGCGUUGUUCGGAAUUACUGGGCGUAAAGAGUACGUAGGCGGAUUGGUCAGUUAGAAGUGAAAGCCUUGGGCUUAACCCGAGAAUUGCUUUUAAUACUGCCGGUCUUGAAUCCUGGAGAGGAUAGGGGAAUU
rnacentral:rRNA from 1 species